rnacentral:rRNA from 1 species
UACGGAGGAUGCAAGCGUUAUCCGGAAUGAUUGGGCGUAAAGCGUCCGCAGGUGGCUGUGUAAGUCUGCUGUUAAAGAGUGAGGCUCAACCUCAUAAAGGCAGUGGAAACUACAUGGCUAGAGUGCGUUCGGGGCAGAGGGAAUUCCUGGUGUAGCGGUGAAAUGCGUAGAGAUCAGGAAGAACACCGGUGGCGAAAGCGCUCUGCUAGGCCGCAACUGACACUGAGGGACGAAAGCUAGGGGAGCGAACGGG